GGUACCUAUCUGCAAAACGACCUCCCAAAACCAUUUCCGCAUCUUCUCUUCUCCCCCUGAUUCCGUUCCGUUUCUCUUUCCUCCCCCUCACCGACUCGCCGUCGCCGUUCGUCGUCGUCGCCACGGUCGCCGGCGGAGAGAGGCCUCGUCUCGCCGCCAAUGGCCUCCUCCGUCCCCAACGGACACGGCGCCGCCACCGCCACCGGCGAAGGAGGGACGCCACCGCCGCCGCCGCCGUCCUCCUCAUCCUCGCUGGUGUUCCUCGGGACGGGCUGCUCCAGCGCCGUGCCCAACGCGCGGUGCCUGAUCCAGCCCCCCGACCCGCCCUGCGCCGUCUGCUCCCAGUCCCUCUCCGUGGCCCCCGAGCUAAACCCUAACUACAGGUGCAAUACUUCUCUUCUGAUUGACUAUUGCCAAGAUGAAAAUGCACACAAAUAUAUUCUAAUUGAUGUUGGGAAGACAUUCCGAGAACAAGUUCUACGGUGGUUUGUCCAUCAUAAAAUCCCUUGUGUUGAUUCUAUUAUUCUGACUCAUGAGCAUGCUGAUGCAAUCUUGGGUCUUGAUGAUGUUCGGAUUGUACAGUCAUUUAGUCCUACGAAUGAUAUUGAACCAACUCCAAUUUAUCUAUCCCAAUUUGCUAUGGACAGCAUUGCCCAAAAGUUUCCUUACUUGGUCAGAAAGAAACUAAAGGAAGGGGAGGAGGUUCGGCGAGUUGCUCAGCUUGACUGGAGAGUAAUCGAGAGUGAUCUUCAGAUACCAUUUGUGACCUCAGGGCUAGAGUUUGUUCCCCUUCCAGUGAUCCAUGGCGAGGACUACAUUUGUCUGGGUUUCCUUUUUGGAAGAAAAUCAAAAGUUGCUUAUAUAUCAGACGUUUCAUGGUUUCCUCCAAGCACAGAACAUGGACCUCAUCAUUGUGUACAUAUGCCUACCUUUCAGCAAUUUCAAAGUCUGGAGGGGGUCAGCUGGAUUUGCUCAUCUUGGAUUGCCUUAGUAGGACUGGUUCUCAUAAUGUCCAUCUUUGUUGGGAUCAGACACUGGAUGCUGUUAAGAGGAUUUGCCCCAAAAGGGCAUUGCUCAUUGGGAUGACUGAUGAAAUGGACCAUCACAAGGACAAUGAAACGUUGGAAGAGUGGUCCAGAAGGGAGGGGAUAGAUGUGCAGUUAGCCCGUGAUGGAUCGCGUGUCUACAUUGAUCUGUAAAUUUGACAAAGGUACGGACCAAUGCUUUUAUUUGUUGUUUAGAUGACUACAGCGCUAUACAGAUCAGGCAUAUUUCUUAGUUCGUAUGAUGGAAUCUUGUUAGCUUCUACUCCCUCCGUAGUUAUAUUUGGAGGCUAUGAGAGUGACCGGAAAUGGCCGGAGGAUGCCGGAGAAUGUGCCGGCGGCGGCGCCGGCGGCGGGUUUUUGAUGAAAGCCGUGGUGGGGUCAGGACGUCAGGGCAGGGGUGUACUCUCACGGUCUCACCCCUAUGGACUUUUUUCCACUUAGGUCCAGUAGUUAAUACAAAUUUAUGAAAAAGGAUCGUGCAAAUGUAGAAGUAUUACAAGAUCUUUUGGAUAGAAGAAAUUCUUAGCCCCUUUGAUUGAAAGGAAAUUCAUAUGAAUUUUAAAGGAUUUCAUUCUUAUAGGAACUUUUCGUAUAUAGCUUUUGAAUCAAAGGAAUAAAUCCUAUGAAAUUCAUAUGGAAUGCUUCUUCCCAUAAAUUUUUGAAGGAAAUUUAACAUAAGGUAGAACAUCAUGGAAAGAAUCCUUUGACUCUUUAUCUCUCCCAAAAUUCAUGUGUUUUUAUUGCGGCCCAACCAAACGGUCAUUCCUAUAUUUUUUUCAUGUAUUUUCCAAUCCUCUAUUUUAUAUUUAUAUUUAUAUCAGAAUCCUAUAUUUUUCCUAAUUCUCCAUUUUUUUUUCAAUCCUGUGAUUCAAAGGAGCCCAUAUAAUUACUUUUAAGUAUUGGAAUCCUUGGUGAAAAAAAUUACUGUGACACCCUUUGUACCAAAGGAAUAGUAUUGCAAGGUUACUAUGGAUUGCUUCCCUAUACACUUCAUUCCAUAAGAAGUAUAACAUGAGCUCAUAUCUCUUGUUUUAUUUUUUUAUUUUUCCUCUCUCUCUGCUUUCUUUUCUACAUAGGAUUUCUUCUAAAAUUCAUGUAUUUGAAUUCUUGUGAACCAUCCAAAUAUAUUACAUCUAUUGUUCUUAUCUAA